AUCAUAAGUCAAAAAAUGCAUUUAAUGCACCUAAUGUACCAAACAUCAUGGCCCAGCCUAGCCUACCUUAAAUGUGUUCAGAGCACUUACAUUUGCCUCCAGUUGGGCAAAAUCAUCUGACACAAAGCCUGUCUUAGGAUAAAUGGUUAAGUAUCUCAUGUAUUUUACUGUACUGAAAGUGAAAAACAAUAGUUGUGUGGAUACAGAAUGGUUGUAAGUGUGCAGGUUGUUUACUCUCAUGAUUGCUGGCUGGCUGUCAGCUAUGGCAGCGUCACGAGCGAGGAUUGUCCCAUACAUAGACAGCCUGGAAAAAAUCAAGUUCAAAAUUCAAAGCGCAUUCUCUAAAGAACACAUCACUUUCACACCAUCCUUGAGUCAAACCAUCAUCAGUUGGAACUAAGUACAUAAAACUUACUAAACAAACUUAAAAAUCAUUUGUUGUUCAUCCAAAUUUGAAAUUGGACUAGGAGUCCUGUAUUUUAUCUUAACGACCCUACUUCAUCCUCUUCUUGUUCUCUGACCUGUGCUGGGAACACUAGCAUAUAACCCUAAACCUAUUUCUUUCUCUGUAAGCUUUUUUGGAAAGGGCAUCUAUCACAUCAGUGGUUCUCAAAGUAUGGUACUGGACUAGCACCUGGAAAACAGACAGCAAAUACACAUUCUCAGCUUUUGACCCAGUCAUACAGAAUCAGGUCUUUUGGGGGUGGGGCCCAGUGCUCUUUGUGUUUUAAGAGGACCUUCAGUUGUUUUUUUUUUUUUUGGUUGUUGUUGUUCGUUUGUUUGUUUUUUAGGGCUGCACCUGUGGCAUAUGGAGGUUCCCAGGCGAGGGGUGGAAUCAGAGCACAGCCGCCGGCCUACAUCACAGCUCACAGCAAUGCCAGAUCCUUAACCCACUGAGUGAGGCCAGGGAUUGAACCUGCAACCUCAUGGUUCCCAGUCGGAUUCGUUUCCGCUGUGCCAUGACGGGAACUCCAGGAUCCUGUAUUUUCAUUUGUUAAGUUUGGCAACUGUUCCACAGGGUUUUUGUAAAAGCCUUAUUAGCUCUAUUAACCCUGUUUUAGAGAUGAAGGAAUUGAGGCACAAAGAGAUGAAGCAACCUACUCAUGGUCACAUAGCCUGGUUUGAAUCUAGGCUGUAGGAUCCCUGAAACCUGCCCAUAAUCACUAGACAUAUCCUGUGCCUGCUGUCUGUGAAUAACCCAGCAUGUGGUGCUGUGCCACCACGGGAACUCCCCUUCAGUGAGGAUUUAAAUUGGGAGAACCACUGGUUUAAACAAUCACUUCUAAGAUGUUGCCUCCCAGAUCUUUAUCAUUAACCCUGAUUUCAUACCCACACUUCCCUCUAGCAUUUCAAACUGGGAAUAUCCUGUGGAAUGUUACAAUAUGGGGGGUGGGGGUGGGAAUAGCCCUAUAGGAGUUCCUGCUAUGGCUCAAUGGGCUCAGUGGCAUUUCUGGAGUGCUGGGUUGCAAGUUCAAUCCCCGGCCUGGCACGGUGGCUCAGGGAUCCAGUGUUGUGCGCAGAUCCGAUGCCUGGGCUGGGAAUUCCAUAUGCCACAGGAAAAAAAAAA
ensembl:lncRNA